AGCGAACGCUGGCGGCAGGCCUAACACAUGCAAGUCGAACGAACUCUUCGGAGUUAGUGGCGGACGGGUGAGUAACACGUGGGAACGUGCCUUUAGGUUCGGAAUAACUCAGGGAAACUUGUGCUAAUACUGAAUGUGCCCUUCGGGGGAAAGAUUUAUCGCCUUUAGAGCGGCCCGCGUCUGAUUAGCUAGUUGGUGAGGUAAAGGCUCACCAAGGCGACGAUCGGUAGCUGGUCUGAGAGGAUGAUCAGCCACAUUGGGACUGAGACACGGCCCAAACUCCUACGGGAGGCAGCAGUGGGGAAUCUUGCGCAAUGGGCGAAAGCCUGACGCAGCCAUGCCGCGUGAAUGACGAAGGUCUUAGGAUUGUAAAAUUCUUUCACCGGGGACGAUAAUGACGGUACCCGGAGAAGAAGCCCCGGCUAACUUCGUGCCAGCCGCCGCCGUAA
rnacentral:rRNA from 1 species